GGACGAUGUCACUCACUUUCUGUUAGGACUGGAGCGAUAUGUGUCUGCCCUGCAGAAUUCAACUGGGGCUGUCAGAUCAGAAAAGCAACAGAUUUUGAAGAGACCAACGCAAAUAGUGAGCUCAGACAUCAUGCAGCAGCGGUCAGUCGCAAUUGAUUCAGAUGUUAUUAGUGAAAACGAGGCCCUUGUUUCUGAUUGGAUGAAAACCAUCGAGCAGGUCCUCAAUGAAGGAGGUGAUGACAGGCUUCUGGAUAUAAACACUACCCCCCUGACUGAGCUUGAUCGCUGGCAGAGGAGGCAGAGGAGCCUGGAAUCCAUCACAGAGCAG